UACGAAGGGGGCUAGCGUUGUUCGGAAUCACUGGGCGUAAAGCGCAUGCAGGCGGAUCGUUAAGUCGGGGGUGAAAGCCCGAGGCUCAACCUCGGAACUGCCUUCGAUACUGGCGAUCUUGAGUCCGGGAGAGGUGAGUGGAACUCCGAGUGUAGAGGUGAAAUUCGUAGAUAUUCGGAAGAACACCAGUGGCGAAGGCGGCUCACUGGCCCGGUACUGACGCUGAGAUGCGAAAAGCAUGGGGAGCAAACAGG
rnacentral:rRNA from 1 species